CCGGAACACAGGUGCUGCAUGGCUGUCGUCAGCUCGUGUCGUGAGAUGUUGGGUUAAGUCCCGCAACGAGCGCAACCCUUGUCAUUAGUUGCCAUCAUUUGGUUGGGCACUCUAAUGAGACUGCCGGUGACAAACCGGAGGAAGGUGGGGAUGACGUCAAGUCCUCAUGGCCCUUAUGGGUAGGGCUUCACACGUCAUACAAUGGUCGGUACAGAGGGUUGCCAACCCGCGAGGGGGAGCUAAUCCCACAAAGCCGAUCGUAGUCCGGAUCGCAGUCUGCAACUCGACUGCGUGAAGUCGGAAUCGCUAGUAAUCGUGGAUCAGCAUGUCACGGUGAAUACGUUCCCGGGUCUU
rnacentral:rRNA from 1 species